rnacentral:rRNA from 1 species
AGUCGAAUGUAACUCGUCUUCUGGACGGAAACGAAAUACAACUUCAAACAACGGAUCUCUGGGCUCUCGCAUCGAUGAAGAACGCAGCGAAAUGCGAUAAGUAAUGUGAAUUGCAGAAUUCAGUGAAUCAUCGAAUCUUUGAACGCACCUUGCGCUCCUUGGUAUUCCGAGGAGCAUGCCUGUUUGAGUGUCAUGAACACCCUCCACCUCCGGGGCUUUUGCGAGCUUCCGGCGGCUGGGACUUGGGGGAUUACUGGCGGCCUUCGCGGGUCGGCUCCCCUUGAAUGCAUUAGCGGGGCGCGACGCGGUCCUUUGCCCGGCGCGGCCAUCCUCGGUGUAGUACGCUAUUCACCUUGGGUUGGCGCGCCUUGACCCGUCAUGCUCGCUUCUAACCGCGUGUAAUGCGCACUUCAUUGUACAUUUGACCUCAAAUCAGGUAGGACUACCCGCUGAACUUAAGCAUAUCAAUAAGCGGAGGA